CCUACGGGAGGCAGCAGUGGGGAAUAUUGCACAAUGGGCGCAAGCCUGAUGCAGCGACGCCGCGUGAGGGAUGACGGCCUUCGGGUUGUAAACCUCUGUUAGCAGGGAAGAAGAGAGAUUGACGGUACCUGCAGAGAAAGCGCCGGCUAACUACGUGCCAGCAGCCGCGGUAAUACGUAGGGCGCGAGCGUUGUCCGGAAUUAUUGGGCGUAAAGAGCUUGUAGGCGGUUUGUCGCGUCUGCUGUGAAAGGCCGGGGCUUAACUCCGUGUAUUGCAGUGGGUACGGGCAGACUAGAGUGCAGUAGGGGAGACUGGAAUUCCUGGUGUAGCGGUGGAAUGCGCAGAUAUCAGGAGGAACACCGAUGGCGAAGGCAGGUCUCUGGGCUGUAACUGACGCUGAGAAGCGAAAGCAUGGGGAGCGAACAGGAUUAGAUACCCUGGUAGUCCAUGCCGUAAACGUUGGGCACUAGGUGUGGGGGACAUUCCACGUUUUCCGCGCCGUAGCUAACGCAUUAAGUGCCCCGCCUGGGGAGUACGGCCGCAAGGCUAAAACUCAAAGAAAUUGACGGGGGCCCGCACAAGCGGCGGAGCAUGCGGAUUAAUUCGAUGCAACGCGAAGAACCUUACCAAGGCUUGACAUAUACUGGACCGCAUCAGAGAUGGUGUUUCCCUUCGGGGCUGGUAUACAGGUGGUGCAUGGUUGUCGUCAGCUCGUGUCGUGAGAUGUUGGGUUAAGUCC
rnacentral:rRNA from 1 species